rnacentral:lncRNA from 1 species
UUUGAGUUUUACUAAAUUUUCAAAACUAAAUUUAAUAUUAUCAGAACGGAUACAUUACGUUGAGCUAGGUUGCUAUACUAUCGUUAGCAUGAAGGUUUCGGUACUACUAAGUUGUUUUCGAUGAUGCGGCCUCUGAAUCGACGAUCGGUUUCGUUAGACAUGAUCUACGCUAUUGAAAAUAUUUAGAAACUAAUUUUCAUAAUUUUUGACAUUAUUUGACUAAUGAUUAAAAGAUCUCAAAAUUGACAAUUUUACUGGUCGAUAUUAUGCGUUUGUGAAUUUAACAGUGUAAAAUAAAUUAAAUCUGAUAAAAAUUUUAUAAAAAAAAUUUCUUCACUAUUUAUAUAAGAUCAGUACCUCUGAUCUUAAAAUCAAAUCUUUUUUAUUAUUUUUUAUAAAAUUUUUAUUUUCAGACGUUCAUUUUUAGACUACUCGUCUGAUAAGUAAAAUGAUGUCGAAAAAUUAUAAAAUUUAGUUUUUUAGUACUUUUAAUAGUAUAGAUCAAGUUGUCUAAUGGAACCGAUCGUCGAUUUGGAAGCCGCAUUAUCGAAAACAACUUAAUAGCACGAUGACUUCCAUGCUAUAAAUAGUAUACUAGUCGGACUCCAUUACAUUUAACCAU